rnacentral:sRNA from 1 species
CACUGCACUCCAGGCUGGGUGACAGCGAGACCCUGUCUCAAAAAAUAAAUAUUUGAGCUGUGGGCAGUGAGGUCUUGAAUGGUAAAGUCAUGCUUCCAAGACGACAGGUCCCACUUGGGGAGGGCUCCAGGGUAGCUUCUCUUACCUCCUCCCCACUCCAGGCCCAAGGAGAGGCCAUGAGGGCAGUGCUGAUCCCAAUUCGAGAGGUUCUGACCCCAGAAUCGGACAUCUCCAUUGCACAUGUCCUGGCUGCCCGAGCCGACGUGUCUCGUCUCGUCCCAGCCACCAGCGUGGCUGUCCGCAGAGGGACCUGCUGUGCCAUCAACAAGGUGCUUAUGGGCAAUGUUCCAGACCGGGGAGGCCGCCCAAAUGAGCUGGAGCCUCCCAUGCCCACCUGGAGGAGCCGAAGAGAGGAUGGAGGCCCCCAGUGUUGGGGCCGCAAGAAGAAGAAGAAGAAGAAGUAAAGGGGGACUGGUGGUCGGGGGCGGGGGGUCCUCCAUGAGAUGCUAAUGCCAUCGGUAAUCUCUGGGGAGUCCGUUUAAGGCUUUCCUUGGUAUUUGGCACCCAAGGCCCCCAUCUCCUAUUCCUGAGGCCCCAAAUGCCCUACUCCCAUUCCCCAGUCAAUACCAAGAACCAUGUUCUCCAGAGAAUAAAUUUAAUUUAUGACAGC